rnacentral:rRNA from 1 species
ACGGAGGAUGCAAGCGUUAUCCGGAUUUAUUGGGUUUAAAGGGUGCGCAGGCGGAAUGAUAAGUCAGUGGUGAAAUCCUACGGCUCAACCGUAGAACUGCCAUUGAUACUGUCGUUCUUGAGUACAGUUGAAGUGGGCGGAAUGUGUCAUGUAGCGGUGAAAUGCUUAGAUAUGACACAGAACACCGAUCGCGAAGGCAGCUCACUAAGCUGAAACUGACGCUCAGGCACGAAAGCGUGGGGAGCAAACAGG